GCUGUUCCUUGCAAUGAGUGCCGUGAACGGUCGAGCUUCACAUCAAGGAGCCUGACAGCUGCUACUUCCGUCGUCGCUCUGGGCUUGUGCGGCCAUUAUCAUAAGGCGACCGUGAGCUACUCACGUUAGGCGGCUGUCAGCUUGGCUCACAGUUCAUUUUAGCGUCGGCGUGCGACCCACCAAAGCUCAGGUUCCGGCUUUCUACGGGAAAGUAGUCCCAGCAAAGAAAGAAUCCGGCCCAAGUUCAGCUCACGGGUGGUCACCGUCGGCGAAGACGAAGUGACGUCUGGCGACCGCAGUAUUCUGACCUUCAUUGGCAGUGAAGUCCUGCGGCGCUGUCCAUGGCAUGCAAGAUGGACGGAAAGUCCUCCCAAAUCAUUUUCCUGGCGUUGUCUCCUGACGAGCUGUGGGAAGGACCUUCCUCGUGUGAACGUCACUGACCAGGUUGUUCAGGAAGCCUCCGACAGAUGGCGCCACGAGGUGCACGGGCUUUUUGCUUUUUUCGAUCGCAAGCCAGCCUACAACACUUAUGCUGAGGAGGAGGCGACAUAACCUGCAAAGAGGUGGAUGUCUUCUGAAUACUAAGUGCCGACGUGUGCGGGACAAUCGUCAGUAUCAGGCAUUGCACCAUCUGCCGACUUGAAGAACAUCAAAGCUGGGAGCAUGUAUGGUGUGAAAUCUUUAUUAAAAUGACCUGCAGAAAAGUACCUUGGUAAAGGAA
rnacentral:lncRNA from 1 species